UACAGAGGUCCCAAGCGUUGUUCGGAUUCAUUGGGCGUAAAGGGUGCGUAGGUGGUGCUGUAAGUCAGGUGUGAAAUCUCGGGGCUCAACCCCGAAACUGCACUUGAUACUGCAGUGCUCGAGGACUGGAGAGGAGAUUGGAAUUCAUGGUGUAGCAGUGAAAUGCGUAGAUAUCAUGAGGAAGACCAGUGGCGAAGGCGGAUCUCUGGACAGUUCCUGACACUGAGGCACGAAGGCCAGGGGAGCAAACGGG
rnacentral:rRNA from 1 species